UAAUUGAAGAGUUUGAUCAUGGCUCAGAUUGAACGCUGGCGGCAGGCCUAACACAUGCAAGUCGAGCGGCAGCGGGAAGAUAGCUU
rnacentral:rRNA from 1 species